rnacentral:tRNA from 1 species
UGUCAGAUUAUUACGGUAUACUGUUAAUAUACCCAAGAAGAAUUUUUCUUCUCUGACAG